rnacentral:rRNA from 1 species
CAGCGCCACGAGUGGUAACCACGUUUAUUGGGCCUAAAGCGUCCGUAGCCGGUUUGAUAAAUCUUUUGUGAAAUUGUACAGCUUAACUGUACAGCGUGCAAGAGACACUGUCAAACUUGAGACCGGGAGGAGUCAGAAGUAUUCCAGAGGGAGCGGUAAAAUGUUAUAAUCUCUGGAGGACUACCUGUGGCGAAGGCGUCUGACCAGAACGGAUCUGACGGUGAGGGACGAAAGCUAGGGGAGCGAACCGGAUUAGAUACCCGGGUAGUCC